AAAAACCAAAAAUAGUGUUGGGACUUAAAGUAAGAUUCGUUAUUUUUCUCACAUCUCCACCACCAGGAGCCCAGGUAUCAUAUAUACCGCCAAAAAACAAAGCUUUUAGCACUAGAAGAAAAGCGCCAGCCCCUAGUAAAAUAAGGUGAAUACCCAAAAUAGUGGUCAUUUUAUUUCUAUCUUUCCA
rnacentral:antisense_RNA from 1 species